GACGAACGCUGGCGGCGUGCUUAACACAUGCAAGUCGAACGAAGUGGCGAACGGGUGAGUAACGCGUAAUCAACCUGCCCUUCAGAGGGGGACAACAGUUGGAAACGACUGCUAAUACCGCAUACUGUAGGAGGGGAUUGCGUGUGAUUAGCUAGUUGGAGGGGUAACGGCCCACCAAGGCGAUGAUCAGUAGCCGGUCUGGGAGGAGGAACGGCCACAAUGGGACCGAGGAACGGGCCAGAAUUCUACGGGAGGCAGCAGUGGGGGAACUUCCGGAAUGGAAGGAAGUCUGACGGAGCAACGCCGCGUGAGGGAUGACGGCCUUUGGGUUGUAAAGCUAUGUUAAUCGGGACGCAGUACCGGAAUAGAAAGCCACGGCUAACUACGUGCCAGCAGCCGCGGUAAUAC
rnacentral:rRNA from 1 species